rnacentral:lncRNA from 1 species
CCAUCCCAAACCAUGGGGAGAGCAGCAGCAAUCCCAAGGCCUGAGUCACCUCCCGGUGCUCCCAGCCCGCAGAGGGAGCUGCUGGAGUUCGGAUUCACCGGGCCGUGACAAAUCAAUAAACCCGGCCCUGGUGUUGCAUAAGAGUGGGAUGCUGGAAUUCCUGCAUGGAAUGAGCUUUGGGAGCCUCCCGGGAGGCCUUUGGUCCCUCCUGGCCCCGUGGCUCCAGCAGCUCCCGGUGCUGCGGGGUGGGCCGAGGUGACCGGAGGUGUGGAACAGGAUUAAGAAGCUCUGCACCAGGGAAGUGUGAAAAUCCAGCUGGGACAGCCAGCAGGAUCAAACCCAUGAUCCAGGCUGGGACUGCAGAUCCUGGCCCUGUGGAGCACAACAUCCCUGGUUUCAUUAUCCCAGCUCUCCACCGGAGGCAUCGCUCGCAGUCCCUCGGGACGAGUUGGACAACGCCGGGAAUGCUCAGGAGGGCUCCUGGCAACUCCAGGUGAAGCCAGGAGAGAUCCUGCGGGAUUCAGGGAGGAUCCUGGCAGGUGACGCCACGUGGGAUGAUCCUGAUCCCGAGCUGAUUUCCAGCUCCAGAUUCCAAUCUCCUGCACUUCCUCUCUCCCUGGGGGAGAUAAGGAUCCUGGGCACGAAGGGCUGAGCUGCCUGGAAUUGCAUCCGCUCCCACAGCCCGGCCAAGGCGGGAGCGAGGCCUCUCCUGGGGAAUGGGGAAUGGGAGGGGAUGGGGAAGGGGCAGGCGCCGCCUUCCUGUGGGUGUUUUCCAGAGAGAAACCGGGAUGGAGCCGGCACCUGCCAGAGCAGGUGACUCGGGU